AUUGAACGCUGGCGGCAGGCCUAACAUAUGCAAGUCGAGCGGAUGAAGGGAGCUUGCUCCUGGAUUCAGCGGCGGACGGGUGAGUAAUGCCUAGGAAUCUGCCUGGUAGUGGGGGAUAACGUCCGGAAACGGGCGCUAAUACCGCAUACGUCCUGAGGGAGAAAGUGGGGGAUCUUCGGACCUCACGCUAUCAGAUGAGCCUAGGUCGGAUUAGCUAGUUGGUGGGGUAAAGGCCUACCAAGGCGACGAUCCGUAACUGGUCUGAGAGGAUGAUCAGUCACACUGGAACUGAGACACGGUCCAGACUCCUACGGGAGGCAGCAGUGGGGAAUAUUGGACAAUGGGCGAAAGCCUGAUCCAGCCAUGCCGCGUGUGUGAAGAAGGUCUUCGGAUUGUAAAGCACUUUAAGUUGGGAGGAAGGGCAGUAAGUUAAUACCUUGCUGUUUUGACGUUACCAACAGAAUAAGCACCGGCUAACUUCGUG
rnacentral:rRNA from 1 species